GCGGACCAUUCAAGAUCAUC
rnacentral:miRNA from 1 species